rnacentral:rRNA from 1 species
AGUGCAGGCGGCCGCUACCAUACGGCUUUUGCGGAUCAGGUCAUGUAUCAUGUCAUGGACGAAGAUACUCCUAAGGGAAUUUGGGACAAGUUGGCAAAUCGUCAUAUGUCCAAGUCAGCGACCAAUAAGCUGUAUUUGAAGCAAAAGUUCUAUGGGCUGAAGAUGCAGGAGGGG